UUCGGACUAGGAGAAGAGAGAAUUCACAGAAGCAUUAGCCUUGAGAUUAGACUUGCAUUUCCUGUGCUUACUCUCAUGAAUGUACUUUAAAUGAUGGCUCGGUGUUGGCUAACCUUGGCUGGACACCAUGUGCUGGGGGCAGUUAAAUCACACCCUCAAAAGCAUGUAGUGCUGAGCUACUUGGAUGGGUUCCCGCUGCUCACUCACUUCCCAUGGAAACAUGGGCUCCAAGUGACUUCCCAGAAGGGAUGUUUCAUUUCUUGGUGCUGGUCUAAGGAAGUGGUUUUAAAAUUUGAUUCUUUAGCUGAGAAAUUCUUCAAACACAAAUCUCAUGAAUAAGCUGCUUUGAUUGGAGUAGGCAUCUCUCUCUCUCUUGGGGUGCAGAAUUAAGGUUUUUUUUCCUAGGUAAGAUAAUUGCCUUACAUGGGACUUGAGCCCGUGGUCUUACCCUCAAUGUUGCCAAGUUUUAACUAAGUGCAUUCCCAUGCUCGCACAGGCAGGGUGAUGGAAGGGAGAAGUUGGAGGGAGUCAUCUGAGCAAUGAGCAAAGAGUGGCUGGGAGGAGUUUGGGGUUAGAAAGAGCAGGAAGAUAUUAUUUUGUUGGCAAUGAGAAGGAGCCUUCAUUUUACAGGUUCCACCUCACAGAAUGGGACAGAGGCAGCAUCUUGUUUGGUGCAUUACCUUUGGGGCUGCUUAGCCAGGCUGAGAUCUGGCAGUUGCUCCCUCCCCUAUUCCAUUAAUAACAAAUUGUUCUGAGACCGUGGAAUGAGGCUGGCAUUGCUCAUAAUUCUCAGAAUCUCCUGGACAGAGAAGCUGGGUGGAGGCGCUGAUGACAGAGCUGUGGUUUUGGUCUCUGCAGCCGAGAGUACUUCUGGGAGCAUUUUGCCUCCAUUUUCUGUAGCUAUUUCUCCCGCCCUCCUGUUAGGUCUCAUCUUAGGAGAGAAAGGUUGAUGAUGAUUGUGGGGAAUUAGAAUCCUAGGGUUUUAAGGUUAUCUUGUCCACUCUUGUUUCCAUUCAGGGCUGCCCCUAAACUAAGCCUAGUCCUUUGGAAAAGGGUUUCUAGAACUCUUGCUGUUAUUAAUUAUCUAUUUACUUAUCAGUUACUAUUUGAAAUAGACUUCAUUUAUCAAACUAUGGCUUGAACACCAAUCAGUGAAGGCUGUGGCAAUGACCCGAAGAGAGAGUCCAGCCGUGGAACUGCCCCUGGGCCCGGGCCUGCCCCUGUCUGUUCCUGUGGUAGCCGGUCUGGAUAUCUGGGAACCCUGCUCUACUCACCAGGCUGCACAGGAUGGGCAGGAAGAUGGUGAUGGUGGCCGGAUUGCUCACAAACUCUGUGACAAUGGACACCAGGAUGCACGCCAGCAGGGUGACGGCCCACGGUGGGAGGCUACUCAGAGACAACAUCUGGUGCCCAAUCCACGUGGAAAGGCCAGAGCUCUGCAGGAGACAAGGUGAUGCAGUGAGAAGAAAGCGGGAAAGGCCACUCCCAGUGGAAUUCUUAGCCUCCAGAAGGUCAGGGAUGGUGAGGGGCUGAAAGGGACCACCAGGAGCCAUCCAAUUUGCUUCCCUGUUUUCAGGCAGACUGGACCCACAGGCAUUCCUGAUUUUUUAUGGUUAGAUCACUAUGUAGCCCAGCAAAUGCUUUUUUUUUUUAAUGAUUGUACACCAUUCAGUCUAAUUAGGGCCUCCUGGUCAGUCAUUGUCACAGGGCACGGAGAGCCUCUACUUGCUGAGAUCCUCCUUAGCCCUGAUAUGACUUGGCAGGGAUUGGAGAUCUUCGGGGUGAUGAGCCCCUCAACUUCAAACCUGUUACUCUUUCUCCAGCCUCUGACAGUCUCAUGCUGUGCAUUCAAUCAACAAUGCCCUUUACACAGAUUGCCAAGUGUAAUCCUUAAUCCUGCUUUUGAAAUCUAUUUCUCUUAUUUUAUCACCCGUGAAAUGGGAAAAAUUAUCAACAUGUUUGGAUAGUAACCUUUUCUCUGGUUUUGGGGGCCUUGAAUGGGCAAGACUGAACAUUAGAAGUUUUACAUGAGUAAUGAAGGAGAGAGGGAUUACAGGUUUAUCUCCACAUAGUGGGGAAGGUGCCACGUCACUGGCCUAGAAACAGUCAUUCAAUCUCAACCUGUGUUAGGUUCAAAUCUCAUCAUGGCUGACAUCAGGAUCUACCAUCUGCCCAUGCUUUUUGGCAACACGAUAUAAAGGCAUAUUGCCACGCUUGAACAUUUUCCAUUAGCAACACCUGUACACAUCUACUCAAAUCAAUGAAUAUUCCCAUUUGGAAUAAUUCAUUAGGUUGGAAGAUGUCCAUCUGCCAAUGAUGAGGGCUCUCCCCCUCCCCUAAAAAUGAAGGGCACAAAUGAGUUUAUGUUCUUAAAAAACCCCAGGUUGCCAUACGCAUUCACCACCUCUCCCCACCCUCCCUCCUCUCCCUUCUAUGGUUGACAAGCUCCGACUUUUGCUGUUUACCCUCUAGAUUGCAAAUGCAAUAAAGAAAUGGGCAGUAGGGCAGAUAGCAAGGUGAGACAUUUUAUGAUUCCUCAAGCUGUAAGCCCUACUCAUGUUCUGCUGUUAAAGACUGCCUUACUACACUGUCAGCAGGCCACCCUUUCUCCUCUUUUCCAAGUUCAUCAAAACCUCCUUUGAUCUCCACAGCACCCCGGCCACUUCAUGACAUGCUCAUAGACGACUGAUGACCAAAGGGCUUCAGAAUUCUCUCAUGUAGCCAUUUUUACCUUGGACCACUUGCCUUUCUUUUUUCUCAACUGACCGAGAGCUAUAAAUCCAGUAUGUGGGGACUACCUCAAUUAACGGAGAGGAGAGGGUUCCUGAGAAGAAAGCCAGAACAAAGAGUGGAAGACAUCCAGAGGACCUGAACUGAAAGUAAAGAACAAUAUUCUUUGUUGGCUGUGCAGGGCUUGCCCUGUCACUGGAGGCGUCCUGGAGGGAAAUCUCUAUUUGGGUGGGAAGAUGGGACUCAGUGUCGCUCCAUGGCUCCUUCCAAGUGGAGGAUUCUGUGCCUUUGUUACUGAUGCAGAAAGCAUUUAGGCCCACAAUGAAUGGGCAGUGAAAAGUGAGCCAAGUUUAGAAUGGGUGAAUGUAGAUAGACGAGGUAGAGGAAGAAAACAGGGAGACCCCUAACCUGCUUGAUUCUUAGGGCUGUUUAUUUCAGGAAGGGCUAACAAUCUAGGAAAAUCAACUCUUUCCCACCAGCCCCCUUUAAAAGAUCUCAUCCCGAAUCCUCCCAGUCAGGAAGUGGGGGGCAUUUACAUCUGCCUUAGCAUACAUUCUCCAAAGGGUCUCAAUAUAUGCAUAUGGAGUCCAUAUGCAUACGGACUCACAAGGUGCUGUGAGUCAUUCUGGAGCAUCUCUGGGCCCUUACACCUUACACCUAUCACCACUGUCAAAACUCCAGAAGGACAUGCCUGCAAAGUCCAGUACAUCUUUUGCUUGUAGCAGUGUGGGCCCAUAAGUGAGGUGUGAAUGCCUGUGUGCCGUGACUGUGGCACAGCUGUCUGUAACUCUGUUCCCAGUAGUGCCAGCUUAGAAGGUGGGACAGGAUGUCCAUUCCUGGCUGAACUGCUUCCCUUCCCAGUGACUUGGGUGAACAUUCACCUCUCAGCGCCUUUGAAUCUUCCUUCCCGGCACCAUAAUGACUCAUUAGGUCAAGCUGCUGGAAAAACAAUGGACCCAAUAAGAACAGAUUCAAGGGUUACCUUGCUGCCAGAAGCCAGAGCAUAGCCUCCUCCCACCAGAAUGACAAUCUCCCAGGGCAUGGUCUUCUGGAAGUCCUUCCACGUGAUCAUGGGCUCCGUCCCCGGUGAGGGCUCCUGGUCUUCCCCUGGAUCACAGGUAGACAGCGAGGCAGAGCCAGAUGAACCCUAAUGGGUGUGAUUUGUGGAGACAGGGGCCUAAUUGAUGAACCAGAGGAUACUCUGCUAUUCUGGGAGGAGUUGGAAGGGCUUUGGUAAGGCUCCUCCCAAAAUUCUGACUUCGACCAUUAUUUGACUAGAGCCAGCCCCAACUUCUUCUCUUGAACUCCUCUCACCAUCGUUCUUUUUCCCGAAGCAAGGCUUCUUCGCUGGAAUCAGGAAGAGGAGGAAGCCAAGGAAGACAGAGACUGUGGCGUCGGUGCGGUAGCCCUUCCUGGCGAAGAGACAAGAAGAGCUGGGGAGAGGGUCAGGAAGCCCAGGGGUAACACAGUGUCUCAGGACAGCCUGUCUGAACACAGUGCCUCUCUUGACCUAGUCUAGAGGGGACGUCAACCUUCCUUCUUGCCAGUUGCUGCCAUGCUGUCCGGUGGUGGAUUUAAUGGGCAAUAGUUAAUGUCUGGAGGCAGGGCCUGGUUAGGGUAGAUGUCUUAGUGUGAAUUUAUGGACCUAUUAAAAGGAGUGGUCAGGAGUUAUUUAGAUAAAGGAGACUAGAAAAGGAUGAGUUCUCUUUCCUGGGAGGGUCACAAGCUGGCACUGAGAGCUUGUGGCCUGUGGCCCUGGCCCUCGGGAAUAUGUAGGGGUGGGACAGGCCUCGGCCACAAGGGCCAUGGUCUUUACAGGUGGUGUUUUACUCUGCAGACAUAUUCCCCUUUAACUCUCAUAACAAUUGAGGUUCCAAGAGCUUAAGUAACAAGACCAAGGUCAUGUGGAUGGUAAGUGGCAGCUCUUGAUCCCAAGCCUGGACUCAGACUCCAAAGACUAUUUUCUUCCUGACUCCACACUGCAGCUUCCCUAAAAAAGGGGGACUUUCAAGGGAACAAAGUGCUUCCUGGGUUCACGACUAUCCCGAAGAAUCUGGGAGGGGACACCGGCGGGUACUGCCUGAAGGGUUUGGGUUAGUGGGUGGUUCUCAGAGACAGUAUCCUUUACUUUUCAAAGAAGGAAUCCCAACCAGGAACAAAGCCAGGCUCCCGGGUAAACCACAGCACCGUCAUCAGGAUGAAGAAAAAUCCAGUCACCAUUUCCGGGUAGCUAUAAAAGAAAACAGACCCACUCCAGGAACUGGGAAGUUUCUGUUAGCUUUCAGACUUUGCUUUGGGAUGCUCCUGUAUGCAGAGCUCCAAUAGUGGAGACCUAAAACGCAGCUACUGCUUAACCACUUGGACUUGGAAUACAGCAGAGGGGAAGGGUGGCCCUUAGAGUCUGGGCCAGCUUGACUUUGGCAUUAAGUAGCACCUCUAAAUACCUAGAUUCGUAGUUGAUGAAAAUUCCCCCAGCUCAAGGGACCGCUGAGAACAAGCCUGCUUCUGCGCACACUUUACCUGCCACAUUUUCUCCUGGGGAAGGAGAGAGGGUGAAGGGCUGAUUCUUACGUAAUGGCUCCCAGCUUUUCAUAUUCCUCUUGGAUCCUCUUCUCUGAUAACUCUUCCCUUUUGGUCUUCUUCUUCUUACUCAGAGAGCAGGUCUCUUUAAAACUGAGAUGGGAGAAUGAGCAAAAGAAUAAAGGAAGCACACUUCUGAGGCCCAGAGGACAACAGGUCUUAAGCAAAUACUAAACUACUGGCUGGCUGGCUGUGAUGGUGCUUCUCUCCACUCGCCCCACCUAUCACGCGACUCUUGAUCUGCCAAGUUACACAGCCUCUCAUCAGCCUUCUCCCCAGCCUUUCGGAGCUCAUAGUGAAGUGCAGAGUCCACGUAUGUUCAGAGUGUCUAGAAGAUGUGAUGCCCGACUCCUCAUCUAGUCCACUGCAUCCUCCGGGCACCCUCUGUGGUUACUUGGCAGCUCCCCGUUGGAUGGCACCCUCCAGGGCUUGCGCCAUGGCCCUGGAUGGACAGGAGAGCCUUGCUGGCAGGGCCCUGGGACUCACUUGCAGCCCAGGAACAGCCAGUGCAUCCAGAACCAGCUGACCACCAGCAUGAUGAGGGAGAUGGGGAAGCUGAAGAGGAACCAGGUGCCGAAGUUGACCACUUCUGCUGCUGGAUACUGGCUGGAGGGGAAAGAACCAGAGAUUUCCUUGUGUCUGGUUGAUGAGUUCUGUGCAACAGAAGGAUCAUCUCUCCUCUCUGAGACCGUUUCCUGGGAACAGGGCAAUCGUCAGGGAGGAAGACAGAUGGACCAAUGAAUCAUUCGUGCAGAUAAGCUGGGUGCCGUGAUGGGCACUCUGUCACUCAGUAAACGCACAACUUGCUCAAGACUGGUCAGUGAGAAAACUGGAUUCAAACUCAGUUAGACCCUACUCCCAACUUGGAUCCUGACCCUCUCCACAUGGCCAGUGUCCUUACGUAUAGUGGUGGCAGCCAGAGACUGGCAGAAUGCGUGGAUCUGAACGUGUCCUGACGUAGGCACUGGUGGCGUUGUACGGGUCCCGUCAGAAAUGCAGCCAGUCAGCACGCCGCUGCUGGCUGGACACACCUAGGCUCGCCUUGCAAGUUGCUGUGGCUGUGCCUCUUCACGCGGCAGGAAUGUGGCAUUCCCUUAGGAGACCAGUGGUGGUCUCUGGAAACGGACCUAUUUUGAGGCUCUUUUGGUUCAUCUGAACAAUUUUGCUGCGACCCCAGGAUGGGAUGCCUGGGAUGGCCCCCCUCCGGGCUGAGCUAAGCCCCCAUCAGAGCUGAAGCCCCUCACUACACCAUUCCAACCACCACCCUGGCGGCGGCGUGGCUGCCUCUCCGCCCUUCCCUGGGGGCAGGAAUGCUGUUCCUGCUGAAACCCUAAGCGGAGACCAGGUGCUAUAAGGAGAUAAUCCAAAUGGAACCAGGUGUUAAUGAAAGAAGACCGUCCUUCAUCUUGCUCCAGGUUUCUGGCUGUGAUUUUCUUCUCUUCUAUUUGUGGUGGGCUUAACUGUUUGCACUGGCACCACCCUGGGCUUCCUGUUGACAAUUUCUGUUAGAAUUUUAAGAAUGCCACAGAGAGAGGGAGAGAGUGAACAGAGGACAGAUUCUAGGUAGACAGCAGUCAGGGAAAGAAUAUGCAGUAAUCUUGAGUUGGGGAAGAAGGGACAGAAAUGUUUUUUAGAGAAAGUGAAGACAUUGUCAGGACUCAGGGAAAUGCGGUAAGUCUCUCUGUUGGCAAAGCAUUUAUUGAGCACCUACUCCAUAAGGGCUCAGCUUCGUCAGGAGAUUCCAAGGACCUGGGAGGCCUGAUUCCUGCCUUUGAGUGCUUAGAGUUUAAUGGACAAUCAGAAGAACAGAGAAAGAAUCACAGCAGUCUGGCUGAAUGUGCCAAUCAUACAGUUCCCAAAGGGUUUCAGGCUGAAGGAACAAUUGGAUGUAAUUAACCAAAAGGCUUCCUGAAAGAGGCAGUUUGACAGAGAUGAAGGUCAUGGGUUGAAGGAAAGGAGCUCAGGGUCCAGGACAGCAGGUGCAAAGGCUUAGUGCUAAUGGGUUGUCCCAGAGGGUGAAAGAAGCCCCCUCCUCAACUGCUCUGUGAGUCUCCCUUCGCCUUGAGCCCUCUUUCACUGGCCCAGCAGGGACCGAGCAGGGGGCUGCUAAUGGUCUAACCUCGCUGGAUCGCAGGACUCCAAAGAACGGGUAGAGGAAGGCAGGCACCAGGGCUGCAGCUCCAAGAGGCACCGCCUCGGACACCCAGUACACAGCAGUCACGAUCAACACUCUGACCACCCCGAUGAAAUACCAUUCAGGCUCCACUGGAAGGAGCUUGAGGUCACGUCAUUUGGUGUCAUAAAUGACUGGAAGGGCUUUUGAAAAUUUAGCUUGGGAGUUGGGUGUAACUUUUAUCCCACCGGGAUGCUGAAGCUGGGCUUCGUUGCAGGUGCCCCCCUCUUGACCCUCCUCUUCUGUGUAUGGGAAAUCAAGUCUGGGCCCCUGGCUUUAGAGAGCUGGGCAGGAGAAACGGGGAGGUCAUACUAAUCCUUCCUAAAAUGCAGCUGCAGCUUGUCACUUUGAAGAAGCAUCAGAACUGCAGGCCAGGAGCUCUUGCCCAGAUCACUUCUCUCAGUUCCAGCCCAGAGCAAACGAGGCUAUUUAGGGAUCUUAAGGAUUAAAGAUCAGAAUCUAAGUGUGAUGCGAGGGGGCCGAAUAGAUGAGAGCCAGUCCCCGUGGUGGUUUGUGCCGAAGGAGAAGAAGCGUCUUACUGACGCUGUGACACACGGAGGAAUCACCUUCGCAGGGCACACUGGGGCGAGUGGUGAACAGGCUGCAUCCAGGUCUGAGGGCUUUGGCCACCCAGGCUCCAUCUAGCUGUCCCGCGGGCUACCCAUGAGCACAGACUGGGAAGCUCUGAGGUAGCGUAUUUCUCUUUUCUUAAGGCACUGGUUCUCAAAUGGAGCCAAGUUUGCCCCCCAGGGAAUAUUUGGUAAUAUCUGGAAGCAUUUUUUGGCUGUCACAAUUGCAGGGGGUGCCUGUGUGCUGCUGGCACCUGAUGGGUAGAGACCAGGGACGCUGCUAACCACGCUACAAUGCACAGCACAGCGCGGCCCUCCCCUCACGACAGAGAACUCUCUCCCCCCGCCCCCAAAUGUAACUAGUGUGGCUGUUGAGAAACCCCGCCCUAAGGUGAAACUCAGUUGGACGAAGGCGCUGGGUCAAGGAAGGGCAAGGUCUCUUGCUCUCAGUGAGUCCAUCUUUAAAAACCUAUUCAAGAAUUUUGAUAGACCCCAACAGAGCAGAGGCUUACCUUUCCUCCCUUGUCUCUCCUCUUUUUUUUUUUUCCACAACAUCCCUCUUCUGUCACAUGUAUAGAUUUUUUUUGUCUACUUCAAUCAUUUGUUAUUUUGUUUUCUUCUUCAUGGGGAUACUUCUCACUAGUCAUUGGUAACUGAGAAGCUCCAAGACAGGCUCCCAGAAUUAAAUGGCUGCACUACCCCCCAGAGUCAUGGUCACCAGAGAUGGGGCUGACUCAGGGGACACGGGGGGGGGGGGCUGAUGCCGCUAAUGAGAAGAGCAGGUGCCACUUGGUUGGCAUUCCCUUAACCUAUCUGACACCGAGUAAAACAAAACAAAACAAAAGCAUGAAAAGGAAAAAAAAAUCAGCCUACUGGGACAAAGCCAGAAAUGGACUAGUGUAUACGCCGGGAAAACGUUCAGCACCAAUCACUGUCUGCUAAUCCCAGCCGGCUUUCAUCAGCAGCUCCCUGGUGCUCUGAGUUUUUAUUCUACUAAAGACUUAAACCAGUUUGUUUUUAAGAAACCAUUCUAAUCCCCUUUAACUGCGUCAUUUAAUCUUGGUUACGAAGUUACUCUGGGAGCUGAGUGGAAGACACCCUUCCCCUCCUACAAACAAGAUUAACCUUUCGUAGCUUAUUUUUCCUAAAGUCUCAAGGGUAGUGCCAGCUAGGGGAAGGGGUAAAGCCACUGGGAGGAAGGGGGGGGGGGGGAGGGAGAAAAGGAGCCGGAGGAAGGCAAGGAAGGCAAAUGACGGUCUCAGAAGCAGAGCCCAGGCUCUUCUGCUCACACAAACCUGAACAAAAAAUUGGGCCACAGUCUAGAGUUGGGGGCUCUUAUUCUGUUUUAUCCAGUCGUUUGCUGUCUCUCCGUCAAGAGCACAGAGAAGAAAACACAGAGGAUACAAAUAAUCAAAGGGCCACAUGCAUGGGACCAGGGCAGGCUGCCAAGCUGCGCUUUCAACUUAAAGUUCAGAAGGAACUUGAGGGAUUAAGAGUUUCAAAUCCUGGUUAUCAGAGCCCACCGUGGUCACCCACAGACCCUGGCUAGAUGCACAGGAGCCCGGCCGGGGACCCCACCGCAGUGCACCUCAGGCCGGGGUCCACAGUCCCCUCCCUCCUCCAUCUGGGAGGUCUUCCUGAUGUCCAGUUGCUCUCCCAUAUGGACGGUCACAUGUUGACUCCUGGCAAAUACCGGCUCUCCAGAGCGCCCUUCUCUUUAUCGGGUGUCCGCCUGGCCCCUGCCCCCGAGCAGGCUGGCCCACUGCUCCGUGUCACACAGAUCAGCCACUCCAGCCAUCGGCCCUUCCUCUUAUCUCAGUCCUGGCCAGGGGCCGUGGGGCUGGGGGACUGGGAAUGGGGUGAAGGGGUGAAAAUGGCAGUUUUUAGGCAGAAAGUACGUUAGCCUCCUCCAGGAAAGCAUUUCCAUUUCUUUACACCAACAGAAGAAUGCUGAGGCGCUGCACGAGCACCCCACUCCCUCCACCGACCUCCCCUCUGACCUCCCACCUGAUCCCCUGGCCCCAGGAGGGGACCGGCUGGUACUCACGCUGCUGGGGUGAAGCAUGGGCAGAGGCAGCAUUAGGAGCGGCACGAAGAUGACGAGCAGCAGCUUCCUGGCUUGGUGGAGGCCCUUCAGUAAACCCAUCCUGGACCUCCUCCCCUCGGAGCCCGCGCCCGCCAAGUGCCUGUGCUGCUGGCGACGCUCGCCUCCCUCCAGAAACACUCCUUCAACCUUUCUCGGCUUCCAAGAGUCCUCUCUCGUCUUAAGAGCAGAACAGGAGGGCAGGUUGUGCCCGGGCUUCCCUGGUGGCGCAGUGGUUGAGAGUCCGCCUGCCGAUGCAGGGGACACGGGUUUGUGCCCUGGUCCGGGAAGAUCCCACAUGCUGCAGAGCGGCUGG